GGGAUGAAUAAAUUAAAGACUUCAGAUGAGGGGAUGAGUCGAAUAAAGACUUGACAAGGACUUGGUAUAUAGAAAAAUCAGUACACACGAAUUCAUAUUAUUGGGGAGUUCAUGAUAGUAUGUAGAAUUUAGUUUACGAGAGUCUUUAUUUCAGCGAUUCUCCCAAAAUAAGCUGGAACCCAAAGGACAUACAAAGUAGUGCCUGAACCUAAUCAGCCCAGCUAAUAUAGGGGGAAAAAAUACUUAUCCACUAAACAGCAAGGCAAAAUGAAACUGACUAACUGAGACAUAAAGAGGAAGAAAAGCAGACCAUUAGGAAACUAAAAUAUAAAGG
rnacentral:lncRNA from 1 species